GAGAUGUGUGAUGACGCAUAUCAAUAAGCGGAGGAAAAGAAACUAACAAGGAUUCCCUUAGUAACGGCGAGUGAAGCGGGAAGAGCUCAAAUUUGAAAUCUUCAAGGUUCUACCUUGACGAAUUGUAGUUUAUAGAAGUGUUUUCUGUUAGUAGAGUGGCUAAAAGUUCUUUGGAAUAGGACAUCAUAGAGGGUGAGAAUCCCGUAUUUGAUCAUUCUUUCUAGCUUUGUGAUACACUUUCAACGAGUCGGAUUGUUUGGGGAUGCAGUCCAAAAUGGGUGGUAAAUUUCAUCUAAAGCUAAAUAUUGGCGAGAGACCGAUAGCGAGCAAGUACCGUGAGGGAAAGAUGAAAAGAACUUUGAAAAGAGAGUUAAACAGUACGUGAAAUUGUCAAAAGGGAAGCGUUUGACACCAGUGUUGUUUUUCCGAAAAUCAAUUACGAAUAUUUUAUUUUUGAGAAGUUAUGACUUCAUCGGCUUGCUUCUCUCUUUACGAAACUUUCUUAAUGCACUUUUCGGUUAACAAGUCAACAUCAAUUUCUUUUGUUGUAAAAGGGUAUGAGGAAGGUGGCUUUCUUUUCGGAGAAAGUGUUUAUAGCCUUGUACCUCUGCAAUCGGAGAGAUUGAGGUCUGCAGCGUAGAUCCUUCGGGGUUAGAUACAUUUGUGCUAAGUUAUAGCUUUUCAUAGACAACUUGUUGACUAUGUUAGGUCUUGUAGCUUACUCGCUUAUGCUAUUUUACCUACGCUUAGGAUGUUGAAGUCAUCGUAUCGCGC
rnacentral:rRNA from 1 species